rnacentral:rRNA from 1 species
UGAUGCAGCAACGCCGCGUGCGGGAUGACGGCCUUCGGGUUGUAAACCGCUUUUAGUAGGGAAGAAGGGCUUCGGCUUGACGGUACCUGCAGAAAAAGGACCGGCUAACUACGUGCCAGCAGCCGCGGUAAUACGUAGGGUCCGAGCGUUGUCCGGAAUUAUUGGGCGUAAAGAGCUCGUAGGCGGUUUGUCGCGUCUGCUGUGAAAUCUGGAGGCUCAACCUCCAGCCUGCAGUGGGUACGGGCAGACUAGAGUGCGGUAGGGGAGAAUGGAAUUCCUGGUGUAGCGGUGGAAUGCGCAGAUAUCAGGAGGAACACCGAUGGCGAAGGCAGUUCUCUGGGCCGUAACUGACGCUGAGGAGCGAAAGCGUGGGGAGCGAACAGGAUUAGAUACCCUGGUAGUCCACGCCGUAAACGUUGGGCGCUAGAUGUGGGGACCUUUCCACGGUUUCCGUGUCGUAGCUAACGCAUUAAGCGCCCCGCCUGGGGAGUACGGCCGCAAGGCUAAAACUCAAAGGAAUUGACGGGGGCCCGCACAAGCGGCGGAGCAUGCGGAUUAAUUCGAUGCAACGCGAAGAACCUUACCAAGGCUUGACAUAACCGAGAACGCCCUAGAAAUAGGGAACUCUU